UACGUAGGGUGCGAGCGUUGUCCGGAUUUAUUGGGCGUAAAGGGCUCGUAGGCGGCGUGUCGCGUCGGGAGUGAAAGCCCGUUGCUUAACGGCGGGUUGGCUUUCGGUACGGGCAUGCUGGAGUGCGGCAGGGGGAGACGUGGAAUUCCUGGUGUAGCGGUGGAAUGCGCAGAUAUCAGGAGGAACACCGGUGGCGAAGGCGAUCACCUGGGGUUGUUCUGACGCUGAGGAGCGAAAGCUAGGGGAGCAAACGGGG
rnacentral:rRNA from 1 species